rnacentral:rRNA from 1 species
UCCAGAGGUCUCAAGCGUUGUUCGGAUUCAUUGGGCGUAAAGGGUGCGUAGGCGGCGCGGUAAGUCGGGUGUGAAAUUUCGAGGCUUAACUUCGAAACUGCAUUCGAUACUGCCGUGCUAGAGGACUGGAGAGGAGACUGGAAUUUACGGUGUAGCGGUGAAAUGCGUAGAUAUCGUAAGGAAGACCAGUGGCGAAGGCGGGUCUCUGGACAGUUCCUGACGCUGAGGCACGAAGGCCAGAGGAGCAAACGGG